CCUUAAUGUUUUUCCACUUAAAAUGAAUCUCUGGUGAGCUGAAUCUUUCCAUAACUAUCUGAGCAAGAGCUACCUGAAUAAUUCAGAAUGAUUCAGGAAUUCACCCAUACGAAGUGCUUGUCCUGGAUGCUGGUGGUUAGCAAUAUUGGGAUUCAGAUACACAUUGUGAAGUAGUGGCCACUGAUAUAAAAGUGCUGUAAGAUGAGGAAAUGGGAUUAGACUUGAACAACAGCAACAGUAACAACAGGUCCAGCCCAUUUCAGUGUACUUCUUCCUUUUCCCACAAAAUGGACAGUUAUUAACAUCGAAGAGACUGUUAAAUUGGGUGUGGGGAGGAGCUUCUAAAAACUCUCUCCACUAAAUGGAAAGGCAGCACAAAAUGCCAUUAAAAU